GUAUAGAUUUUGAUCAUGGCUCAGGAUCAACGCUAGCGACAGGCCUAACACAUGCAAGUUGAACGGUAAGCAGCGGAGCUUGCUCCGGCUGACGAGUGGCGCACGGGUGCGUAACGCGUAUACAAUCUACCUUUUACAGGGGUAUAGCCUUUAGAAAUGAAGAAUAAUCCCCCAUAAUAUCUUAUUAGUGGCAUCAUUAAAAGAUUAAAGCUUCGGUGGUAGGAGAUGAGUAUGCGUUCUAUUAGCUAGUAGGUAAGGUAACGGCUCACCUAGGCGACG
rnacentral:rRNA from 1 species